GCCCUCGUAGUUCAAUGGAUAGAACGACUCUCUUCUAAGGAGUAGAUCGGGGUCCGAUUCCUCGCGAGGGCG
rnacentral:tRNA from 1 species